AUGGAGAACCUCCUGGAAAGGGCUUUGGUGAUUCUGUGGCUUCAAUUGGCCAGGGUGAACAGCCAACAAGGAGAAGAGAAUCCUCAGAUCCUGAGCAUCCAGGAGGGUGACAAUGCCACCAUGAGCUGCAGUUAUAAAACAAGUAUAAACAACUUACAAUGGUAUAGACAAGAUUCAGGAAGAGGCCCUGUCCUGCUAAUUCUAAUACGUUCAAAUGAAAGAGAGAAACACAGUGGAAGACUAAGAGCCACGCUUGACACCUCUGCCAAAAGCAGUUCCCUGUCCAUCAUGUCUUCCCAGGCUGCAGACACAGCUGCUUACUUCUGUGCUAUAAAUGCACGAUGUUCACCAGGCACCUGCAACCCCUACACAAACCCUGCCAGAGCUGCCUCUUAA